rnacentral:lncRNA from 1 species
UCCCCCUCAGCCACCGCCUCCUCCUCCACCAGCACCACUCCCUCCGGGGCACCCCGGUCCCUGCAGAGUCCCUGGCCGGCGCCGCCUCCGCUGCGGCCCCCUGAAUCCCGAGCCUGCCUCGCCCAAGCUGGUAGGACAGAAGGACAGACAGAUUCCUCUAGCCUAGCGCUCCGCCGCUGCUGCCUUACGCGGCCCCGCGUCGGGAGAACUGGGAUCGCCCCAAGAGCACCGCGAGGGGUCAUCUCAGGCUGGCUGCAUGCCUCAGCUGAAGAUCCCAGCUCCUGUCAAUGCCACCUCUCUGCUUGACUGUCUCCUUCCAGAUUCGGUAUGAGCUGGGAAGAAUGAAGGCAGGGCAUGCCCGUGUGCCAGCUCUGCACAGCUGGAUAGCUGAGGAAAGAUGUGGAGGAGAAGCCGGGGA